CUGCAUUAUUACUGUUAGAGCAUUAUGGGAUUUGUAGUCUACAACAUCUGAAAUGUGGAUGGUUGCCUUCCCCUAGUUUAUUUAGUGCAGGCUAACCUCUAAAAUGAUCUUUCUUGGAGAUGGUAUACUCUGAAUACCUGGCUGUAACGCACGAGAGUUUGCAAAAUACAUGUGUUUUCACAUCUGAGAAGGCACUCAUGAACAAGGAAUUGUAAAUAUGUGUGUUUAGCAUUCCUCUCUGAAUUUAAGCCAAAGUAGAAGAACUGUGAACAGUAUCCAACUGGUUUAAUAGAAAAUUCUGC